GUGGGGAAUAUUGGACAAUGGGGGCAACCCUGAUCCAGCAAUGCCGCGUGUGUGAAGAAGGUCUUCGGAUUGUAAAGCACUUUCGACGGGGACGAUGAUGACGGUACCCGUAGAAGAAGCCCCGGCUAACUUCGUGCCAGCAGCCGCGGUAAUACGAAGGGGGCUAGCGUUGCUCGGAAUGACUGGGCGUAAAGGGCGUGUAGGCGGUUUACACAGUCAGAUGUGAAAUCCCCGGGCUUAACCUGGGAGCUGCAUUUGAUACGUGUAGACUAGAGUGUGAGGGAGGGUUGUGGAAUUCCCAGUGUAGAGGUGAAAUUCGUAGAUAUUGGGAAGAACACCGGUGGCGAAGGCGGCAACCUGGCUCAUGACUGACGCUGAGGCGCGAAAGCGUGGGGAGCAAACAGGAUUAGAUACCCGAGUAGUCC
rnacentral:rRNA from 1 species